UACGGGGGGGGUAAGCGUUGUUCGGAAUUACUGGGCGUAAAGGGCUCGUAGGCGGCCAACUAAGUCAGACGUGAAAUCCCUCAGCUUAACUGGGGAACUGCGUCUGAUACUGGAUGGCUUGGAUUCGGGAGAGGAAUGCGGAAUUCCAGGUGUAGCGGUGAAAUGCGUAGAUAUCUGGAGGAAUACCGAUGGCGAAGGCAGGUCUCUGGGCUAACACUGACGCUCAUGCACGAAAGCGUGGGGAGCAAACAGG
rnacentral:rRNA from 1 species